rnacentral:rRNA from 1 species
CACGUAGGGUGCGAGCGUUGUCCGGAAUUAUUGGGCGUAAAGGGCUCGUAGGCGGUUUGUCGCGUCGGGAGUGAAAACCCAGGGCUUAACUCUGGGCUUGCUUUCGAUACGGGCAGACUAGAGGUAUGCAGGGGAGAGCGGAAUUCCUGGUGUAGCGGUGAAAUGCGCAGAUAUCAGGAGGAACACCGGUGGCGAAGGCGGUUCUCUGGGCAUUACCUGACGCUGAGACGCGAAAGCGUGGGGAGCGAACAGG